UACGUAGGGGGCAAGCGUUGUCCGGAUUCAUUGGGCGUAAAGAGCGUGUAGGCGGCCAGGUAGGUCGGUUGUGAAAACUGGAGGCUUAACCUCCAGCUGUCGAUGGAAACCAUUUGGCUAGAGUCCGGAAGAGGAGAGUGGAAUUCCCGGUGUAGCGGUGAAAUGCGCAGAUAUCGGGAAGAACACCCGUGGCUAAGGCGGCUCUCUAGUACGGUACUGACGCUGAGACGCGAAAGCGUGGGGAGCGAACAGG
rnacentral:rRNA from 1 species